CACUUUCUGCUUCCACACAGCACACAUCUAACAACUUCCAAUGCCAUUCUGAAAGGGGAAAAAAAGAUGUUCACCAUUAUGUCAUUUUUAAUUAUCGUCCUGUCAUCAGACUACACCGAAGGUGAAAUAGAGCUCCGUGCUUUCAAACACCAGACAGUGAAUUGCAAUGAGAGGACUGUCUUACAAUGCAAUAUCAGCUCAUCAACGCCACUGAACAUAGUUAAAGUAUACUGGAAAAAAACAGAAGAGAAAGAUUUUGAAUGUGAUCCAACAUCCAGCAAUAGACCUCCAGGAUUUUAGUGUAACUACACAGGAGAAGCACUGACAUUAACCAUCUCAAAUCCUACACCAGCAAAAAUGGGCUCGUAUUUUUGUUGUAUAAAGACAGACUCUGGACAUGGAGCAAAAGAAAUCAAUGUAUCUAUAGGACAAUGCACUGGAGAAUUCUCCCACCAGAUGGCUGAACCCAAACAAAUGCAGUGUAGUUUUAAUGGUGUGUACCCAGAGGGCAUGAUAAACUGGUUUCAUUAUGACAAGAACCUGACUUCCAGCUCUACAGUCACAAGCCUGGUGAACUCUGAUGGAACGUACAGCAUCACAAGUGAACUAAACAUCCAGGACGAUCAAGAGAGAUAUAAAUGCUCACUGUGGUCAUUCAAACACGGACAAUAUCUUAAAGAUCAAGAGUUUAAAGUGCCAAUUCAUGCUGAUUCCAGGCCCAUUAGCAGGAUCAGCACACAGCAUUGUUUAUCAUGGACUCUUAUCCUUCUUAGCCUGAUGUUUUGAUUGAGAGCCUGUUUGUCUCCAACUAUCACAAUGAUGACAUAACCAAAGAUCUGGUGGGUUUUAAUAAAAUAAUUUGUCAAAUAAACUGGCCACCUAAUAAAUAUAGUGGUAGAACU